rfam:Ornithorhynchus anatinus chromosome X5, whole genome shotgun sequence.
CCCCUCUCAGAUUUGCACCUGGAGAGUUUCUAGUACUCUACCAGUCUCGACUAUGGGAGAGAGAGUCAGGCAGAGGCCUGCCCAUUCCAUUCCUAACUUGGGCAGUAGCUAGCAAGUGGAAGGCAAUCUGCUACAAGU